rnacentral:rRNA from 1 species
UACGUAGGGUGCGAGCGUUAAUCGGAAUUACUGGGCGUCAAGCGUGCGCAGGCGGUUUGUUAAGACAGAUGUGAAAUCCCCGGGCUUAACCUGGGAACUGCAUUUGUGACUGGCAAGCUAGAGUAUGGCAGAGGGGGGUAGAAUUCCACGUGUAGCAGUGAAAUGCGUAGAGAUGUGGAGGAAUACCGAUGGCGAAGGCAGCCCCCUGGGCCAAUACUGACGCUCAUGCACGAAAGCGCGGGGAGCAAACAGG